ensembl:lncRNA
AGCCUCAUCUUCAUCAACAGGAUUUAAAGGUCCUGUUCAUUCACCCACACAAGCAUUUAAUGAGAACGAUGCACAAACUUCACUCUCCUCAGGUCCUCUGAUGUUCACGGCUGUCGGACUGACUGUUAUCUUCAUUAUAUUUGGGGCAGUUCUCUGUAUAUGGAAUAAUCAAAAGAAAAAAUCACACAGUUCCAAGGUUGAUGCUGAAAUCCAAGGAACCACACAUACCACUGAAGUAAGAAACACAGAACACUUAUUACGUAUUAUAUUGUUCAAAUUAUGUGAAUUUACAGUUUUUUUUUUUUGGCUUAUUUGAUUAUUUGAAAAGUAUACAGUAAUAAAAAAAUGGAUUAACAAAAAGUUAAUAUUAAU